GGUGAGCUUAAAAUCCCAUACCACCAAGCUUAUCAGCACGGCAAUUCACAGAGAGAAAGAACCAUGGCUCCGCUCAAUUCUACCAAACUCGACGACCUUUAGGUUCUGGUUGAAGAGAAGUUGUCUGCAAGAAUAUUGACAUUGAACAGGCCUAAGCAAUUGAAUGCCCUUUCUUUUCAAAUGAAAUUUGGGGCUAACCAUUCUAUAAGAUUUCCAUGUGGGAGAAGUUGCGAGAUUACACUCAAGUUUAAAUGGUGAAUCAAUAGAUCAUGUAGAAUGCAGGGGUUGACCUGCUGAGGGGGCAUUCAAUUUUUUAGGAGAUCAAAUGGGCACCUUGAGUUUCUUAUUUGAAGACACGUGCAUACAAAAGAGCAUUGUUUCGCCUUAACCUUGCGUUUCUAAGUUUUGGAAUGCACUCAUGACAUAUUCUUCGAGAAUUCACCACUCAUCCGCCGAAAAGGACAUUGCCUUGUCUCCAAUUGUUUCCUUAAGUUUUCUCUUUGCAAAUGAGAAUUUUAAAUAAUGGUGUCCAAAAUCUUCAUUCUGCUUAACAAUAAGAAAUUUUGCUUUAAUGUUUUGAAAUAUUGGCAAAGAUGCUUGACUAGUAAAUAGAGUUUGUAAAAGUUUGACGAGCUUGAGAUGUGUAAUUAUACAGAA